rnacentral:rRNA from 1 species
CAACAGAGGGAAGCAAAGCCGCGAGGUGGAGCGAACCCCUAAAAGCCAUCUCAGUUCGGACUGCAGGCUGCAACUCGCCUGCACGAAGUCGGAAUCGCUAGUAAUCGCGGAUCAGCAAGCCGCGGUGAAUACGUUCCCGGGCCUUGUACACACCGCCCGUCACACCAUGAGAGCCGGGAACACCCGAAGUCGGUGGCCUAACCGCAAGGAGGGCGCUGCCGAAGGUGGGUUUGGUAAUUGGGGUGAAGUCGUAACAAGGUAAC